AUAUCUGUGUGAGUGGUUAAGAUGUUGCACUCAAGAUGCAAUGACCUCAAGUCCUCAUGGGUUCAAAUCCCACAAAAUAAA
rnacentral:tRNA from 1 species